AGGUUACUGCUAUCGAGGUUCGACUAAGCCAUGCGAGUCGAAUGUAGCAAUACAUGGCGUACUGCUCAGUAACACGUGGACAACCUACCCUCCGGACGGGUAUAAACCCGGGAAACUGGGUAUAAUCCCCGAUAGAUCUCGGUCGCUGGAAAGCCCCGAGAUCGAAAGCUCCGGCGCCAGAGGAUGGGUCUGCGGCCUAUCAGGUAGUAGUGGGUGUAGCGUACCUACUAGCCUACGACGGGUACGGGUUGUGAGAGCAAGAGCCCGGAGAUGGAUUCUGAGACACGAAUCCAGGCCCUACGGGGUGCAGCAGGCGCGAAAACUUUACAAUGCCGGCAACGGCGAUAAGGGGACCUCGAGUGCCAGGAUACAAUCUUGGCUGUCGUAAUGCCUAAAAAGCAUUUCAUAGCAAGGGCCGGGCAAGACCGGUGCCAGCCGCCGCGGUAACACCGGCGGCUCGAGUGGUAACCGCUAUUAUUGGGUCUAAAGGGUCUGUAGCCGGCCGGAUAAGUCUCUUGGGAAAUCCAGCAGCUCAACUGUUGGGCUUUCAGGAGAUACUGUUCGGCUCGAGGCCGGGAGAGGUGAGAGGUGCUUCAGGGGUAGGGGUGAAAUCUUGUAAUCCUUGAAGGACCACCAGUGGCGAAGGCGUCUCACCAGAACGGACCUGACGGCAAGGGACGAAAGCUAGGGGCACGAACCGGAUUAGAUACCCGGGUAGUCCUAGCCGUAAACGAUACUCGCUAGGCGUCAGCCACGGUGCGACCGUGGUUGGUGCCGUAGGGAAGCCGUGAAGCGAGCCACCUGGGAAGUACGGCCGCAAGGCUGAAACUUAAAGGAAUUGGCGGGG
rnacentral:rRNA from 1 species